UGGAGAGGAUUAGGGAGUAAAAGGCAGCUUGUACUGAAGUGCAGGGAAAGUAUAAAUAUUGAUAUAUAUUGGCACAGUGCCUGGCCUUAAUGCUUAAAAUCCUUUGGAGAGCUGUCUGCAUAUUUACUGUAUUAAUGAUCAAAUGCAAGGCUGUUUUGGGAAAGGUCUUCCAUUUGGAAGUCAGUAGCUGAGACUGUCUUGCCUAUGAAAAAGAGGGAGAAUUUUCGUUAGAGGAUGUAGGAUUCUGGCUGGUAAUAGUCUUAAUUCAAGGUAUUUUUAGAGAAUUGAUUUAAUACAAGCAGAACAAAUGGCCAGAAGUGUAAUGAGAGACAAGUUGAAAUUAGAAAGUAGAUGUGCAUUUUGAAUGUAUUGUCAUAGCAACUGAUUCAAUUCUCCCUCUCUUGCUGUUCUGGGGACCUUUUAAAUGUGCUUUGGCUAAAUAAAAAGUAUUAGACUAUUUCAGAGCCAAAAGGUCAGUUCUUGUUGUCUCUUUUGCACUUUAAUUCUAGUACACUGAUACUUGCUAACCACUUAUAACCCUAGAUGCAGAAUGAGAACUUGGGUUAUUAACAAUAAAGAAGUAAACAGCAGAAAGACUUGACCUUUCUUUUGAAUUGCCCUACAGUGUUAAAAAAUACCAAACAAACCUCCUUCCCCAAAGAAACACCCCCAAAAUACCCCAAGAACUCACCAAACAGAAAAUCACCGACAACCAAAAAGCAGAAGUAACAAACAUGAACAGCAAGUGGAGGAAGAGUUUGAAAGCGGGCUGGACAGAAGCAGAAGUGUUACUGCCCACUCUUAGGCCACUGUGCUGAUUAAAUGGGUGUUGUUAGGUUUAGAUCAGUAGUUCGUUGUUGUUGGGUUUUUCGGUGGUGUUGAUUUUUUUGUUGUCGUUGUGGGGGAUUGUUUGUUUGUUUGUUUUUAUUUUUGUUUUUUUUUCUGUAUUAAAAAUCUGGCUCAGUUACUCUCUAGUUCUGGUGUGUUUUCUUUUCCAGGUGGUUGGUGUUUCUGCAGUGUUUGGCACAGGACUGGGGGAGAUUUUUACCCAGCUUUCUAAAGCUGUAGAUGAAUAGGAGAGACUGAAUGCACUCCCUUUAUUCACCUUUUCAGAGAGUAUCGUCCAGAAUACGAGCGCCUGAGAAAAACACUGAAUCCACAGGUAAGUCUUUGUCUACGGGAGAAAGCUCAAAAUAAACAAAAGAGAGAGCAGCUGGAACACUUGUGGAAGGACAUGGGCAGCGUGUGUGUGCAGGGCAGCACAGUGGCAGGUACCUCCCCAGGAAGAUAAAGUUUACUGCAGAAGUUUUCUGAAGAGUUUGCCUUGUGAAGUAGUACAGUGCUUCUUUGUCCUCACAGCAGAAGUGUGAAAGCAGCUCCAUGUUAGAGGAGCGGGGCUUUAGUUCCUGUGGGGUUGGUCACACUCAGCUCUUCCUGUGUCAGUCACAGGUUUGGAAGAAACCCUGCUGUGUAGCUAAAGCAGUGGACCUACUAGAAAUAAUGAAAUACUUUAGAAAAGGUGAAACAGUCAGAUCAGAAUAUGAGAAAGCUCUGCUGUUGGCUGCACUGUUCCUUAGAUGAGGCGAGUAGGUGCUGAUGGAGUCUGUCCUGUGUCUGGGAUCCACAAGCAGCUUUCUGUCCCCUUAGAGCAGGUGUUCAUUGCUGGGUUUCUGUGCAGAUAGAAACCUUACCUUUAGCAAGCUGGUUGGUGUACAGCUGUUUCUGUUCCCUUCAAGGACCCGAUGCUUCUGCAAUGGGUCCCUCUGAGCUAAUACUAACACGAGGAACUCUCGAUGAAGAGCAAGAAGAGAGGGAGAGUGACGCUGAUGGCAUUGACCAUGAAGGUAAGGGAAUGAGGUCUAAAAGCUGCCUCUCAAGAAAUCCCCUCUAUAUUUCAUGUCCUGGAUGGACUGUAAGGAGAGCCUAGAAAACAAGCAAACAUUCAGUCACCUGACGUGUCAGAAUGUGUAGCAGAAGCUCAGCAGGGAUAUCACUCUGUAACCUUUGUGAAAGUUCAAUUGUAAAUUUUCUAUUCAAGUAAUUAAUAGGUGUAUAACACACAUAAAACAGAGAACUCGUUAGGCUUGGGGCAUGCAGUGACCUCUGAACCUGAUUGAUGCACAGAUGUGUCCAUCAUCUUUUUGGCCUUACAGUUUCUGCCCCUGGCUCUCUUCUCUUUUCCUGUGACUGUGGUCUUGGAGCAAUCUUCUAAGUUGUUACAGUGUGAUUUUUCUCUUCUAUAGCUCACAGACUUAAUCUUCAUUCUUUCCCUGUUCCACUGAUGGGUAGGAUCACUUAUUUCCUUUGCCCUGUAAUGUAGCUGAAGAUGGAAUAGACUUUCUAUGUUGCUUUGGCUA